rnacentral:rRNA from 1 species
CGCACGAGAACGUUUCAGCUUGCUGAAACUAGUAAAGUGGCGCACGGGUGAGUAACGCGUGGGUAAUCUACCUCCGAAUUGGGGAUAACAUUGCGAAAGCGAUGCUAAUACCGAAUGACAUCUCAAUAACUCCGGUCUUUGAGAUCAAAGGUGGCCUCUCCAUGGAAGCUACUGUUUGGAGAUGAGCCCGCGUACCAUUAGCUUGUUGGUAGGGUAAUGGCCUACCAAGGCAACGAUGGUUAGCUGGUCUGAGAGGAUGAUCAGCCACACUGGAACUGACACACGGUCCAGACUCCUACGGGAGGCAGCAGUGAGGAAUUUUGCGCAAUGGGGGAAACCCUGACGCAGCAACGCCGCGUGAGUGAUGAAGGCUUUCGGGUCGUAAAGCUCUGUCAAGUGAGAAGAACCUGCCCUUUGCUAAUAUCACUGGGCACUGACGGUAUCACUGAAGGAAGCACCGGCUAACUCCGUG